rfam:Ancylostoma duodenale strain Zhejiang A_duodenale-1.0_Cont253801.1, whole genome shotgun sequence.
CCAACGCCCCUCUUUAGGGCCACAAUUAUUACCGAAUACGUAUUAU